rnacentral:pre_miRNA from 1 species
UGCUGUAGCAGCACGUAAAUAUUGGAGUUACGCCACUGCUGAAGUCUCCAGUAUUGACAGUGCUGUUGAAGCAAAG